UUCAUUUUUCUUAUUAUGAAACCAUACGUGAGUAGGGGCAAUUCACUGCCCAUACAAAGUGAGAGUGGAUAACAUAUACCUAAUGAAGACUGUAGUCCUGUAUUAGACAAAAUCAUUUUAUCAUAUGGGUCAGUUACAGUUACCUACAUAAGAACAUAAGAAAUUUACAAACGAGAGGAGACGAAUCAGCCCAUCAAGCUCAUUUGGGGAGAACUUAACUAAUAGCUCAGAGUUGUUAAAAUCUUAUCUAGCUCUGAUUUAAAGGAACCCAGGGAUUUAGCUUACUACUUACUAAACUAGUAGCAAGACUAUUCCUUACUCUAAAAACAUGAUGUGUAAAAAAGUGCUUCCUCAAAUUUGUUUUAAAAUGUUCUCUCGCUAAUUUCCACUUAUGGCCACGAUCUCUAAUAUUUAAACUAAUAUUGAAAUAUUGAACAGCAUCCAGACCUGUUAGAAUCUUAUAUACCUGGAUCAUGUCCCUCUUAUUCUCCUUUACUCAAGGCUAAACGGAUUCUGCUCAGUUAACCUCUCAUAAGACAUUCCUCUAAGACCAGGAAUCAUUCUGGUACCCCUACGUUGCACCUUUUCCAAGGCAGCAAUGUCCUUCUUAAGGUAUGGUGACCAAACCUGCACACAAUUUUCUAGGUGAGGACUUACCAAGGAAUUAUAUAAUCGAGCCGUUUGUGGUGGACAACAUCAAAGGCCUUCUGCAGAACUAAGCAGAUAACAUCAUAGGCCUUUUUGUGAUCAAUUUCUUUCGUAGCUUCCUCAAAGAACUCAAGUAGAUUAGUUAAACAGGACCUACCUCUCCUAAAUCCAUGAUGGCUAUCCCUCAGAAUGUUAUUUUAAUCCAGGUAAUCUACCAUUUUCACUUGGAUUAUAGCUUCCAUUACCAUUCCAGUUAUGCAAGUUAAACUGAUUGGUUAUAGUUUGCUGGAUUACUUCUAUCCCCUUUUUUGAAUAUGGGUGUUAUAUUAGCAUGCUUCCAAUUAGAAAGUGCCACACCAGUAGAUAAGGAUUUCUCAAAUAGUAAUGUUAAAGGUUGGUUAAUAAUAUCCCUCAUCUCUUUUAAAACUACAUUUUAUACUGUAUUUAGUCCAUGUCUAAGUCCGUAUUCCCCAGAUCCGUCAUUGAUGUUCGUCGCCGUCUGCCCUGUCUUCAGUGACUAAACCCUGGUUUCCUUAAUCCUGCCUACCUGCCUUGUCCUUUCCCCGCUUCCUGCUUGCCCAUCCUCCCCGCCGAUCGCAACAGAAUGACGGACCUCCCGAAAGAAGCACUGCGGCGGGCCAAGGACCAGCGCCUUAAUCUACUGCAGGAAGUGCUUUAUUGGCUAAUUCAACUGGAGGUCCAGGAGGACCCAGCAUGCCGGGAUUUGGCCAGCCGGAGCGGGGACCUCCUGAGUGAGGCAGCCCCACUGCUGCAAGCCGGAGAAAGAAGAGGAAGCCCCAAGGAUCAUCCUGGGGGCUUGCUCUCUCUUCCCCACUUCUCUCCUUGCAAGUGAUCGGGAGGGCUCCCCAAUCAGCUCGGACGUUGCCUUCGCGGGCAGCUUCCCCCUUCCGGGGAACACGCCUGGCUCUGAAAGGGGCCAGGGCAGUAUGGGACACUAUCCCGCGGGUUAGCGGGCUCUUAAAGGGGCAAUGCCUGCUAGUGAGGCAGCAACCCUGGAGCCCGUGCCUGUCCUACCUGUCCCACCGGCGCCUGACGUCCUUGUCCCGCCUGAUCUGCCUGUCCAGCCCGUGCCUGAUCUGCCUCUCCUGCCAGCUGCCGCACCGCCCAGCAAGGCUCUGGCCACUGCGACGGCCCUUGUUGGCCCAGAGUCAGCGGUGCCUGCGGCACCCGAGGCGCCUGCCACGGCCCCGCCUCCAGCUACUGCUCCACCUGAGGCCCCUCUGCCUCCGCCAGUCCCUUCUCCGCCCGAGGCCACUCUGCCUCCACCCGUGGCUCUGCCCGUGCCUGUGACUCCUGCCCCUGUUGCCCAUGUCCCUGACCCAGCUCCAGUCCCCCCAUCACCGGUCCCAGUCCCCGAGGAGGUCCUGGACAAUCUAACCACUGCUCCUUCCUCCUUUAGGCACAUUUUCUUUUUUGUUGUUUUUUUGUUGAGGAAACACCCCAAUGCAAUUCUCAUCUUAAAUUAAUGAUGAAAUAUACAUACAGGGGGCGGCAUGGUGGUGCAGUGGUUAGGACUGUUGCCUCACACCUCUGGGACCCGGGUUCGAGUCUCCGCCUGGGUUACGUGUGUGUGGAGUUUACAUAUUCUCCCCAUGUCGUCGUGGGGUUUCCUCCGGGUACUCCGGUUUCCCCCCACAGUCCAAAAACAUGCAGAGGCUAAUUGGAUUGCUAAAUUGCCCGUAGGUGUGCAUGUGUGAGUGAAUGGUGUGUGAGUGUGCCCUACGAUGGGCUGGCCCCCAAUCCUGGGGUGUUCCCUGCCUCGUGCCCAUUGUUUCUGGCAGCUUGCUACCCUUAUGGGCCGUAUCCAGGAGGCAGGCACUGAGAUUGUGGAGGCCAAGGCUGGGGCAGGCUCUGCCACACUGGAUGGCAUAUGCAGGGGCUGGAUUCACAUUCUCUCUGCUGGAUGCUAUGAAUGACAAAGAGGGGGUGUGGAGUGUGUGUUUCUGAGGUCUGAGGAAAGUGAAAAUACUUCUCUACCCGUCUCCUCCUUAGGAGACAUGGAAUUGAGAAGAACCUGGGCCUUGGUGAGCUCUCCACCUUUGAUGAGAAGCUGGUGGCAGAAGCUUUGGGCUUGACGUUGACGGCCUCCAUCAUGAUCUAAAUAUUCCUGGAAUGAUGGGAAAGAGCAGGAUCUGGCUGUGGCUAACAUCUACUGUCCUCAAAUCUACUUUUAGUAGUCUUACAACCUACUUUUCUGUGUGUUGUUUUCUGGUGUGUCAAACAAAAAACUGAGAGUAAAGUAAAGGUUUAUAUGUA